rnacentral:rRNA from 1 species
GCUUGCUUCUCUGAUGUUAGCGGCGGACGGGUGAGUAACACGUGGAUAACCUACCUAUAAGACUGGGAUAACUUCGGGAAACCGGAGCUAAUACCGGAUAAUAUUUUGAACCGCAUGGUUCAUAAAGUGAAAGACGGUCUUGCUGUCACUUAUAGAUGGAUCCGCGCUGCAUUAGCUAGUUGGUAAGGUAACGGCUUACCAAGGCAACGAUGCAUAGCCGACCUGAGAGGGUGAUCGGCCACACUGGAACUGAGACACGGUCCAGACUCCUACGGGAGGCAG